rnacentral:rRNA from 1 species
UACAGAGGUCUCAACCGUUGUUCGGAUUCAUUGGGCGUAAAGGGUGCGUAGGCGGCUUGGUAGGUCUGGUGUGAAAGCCCCGGGCUCAGCCCGGGAAGGGCACUAGAAACCUGCCAAGCUAGAGUGCCGGAGGGGAGAGUGGAAUUCCUGGUGUAGCGGUGAAAUGCGUAGAUAUCAGGAGGAAUACCGGUGGCGAAAGCGACUCUCUGGACGGCAACUGACGCUGAGGCACGAAGGCUAGGGGAGCAAACGGG